GGAGCAAACAGAUUAGAUACCCUGGUAGUCCACGCUGUAAACGAUGAGUACUAGGUGUCGGGGGUUACCCCCCUCGGUGCCGCAGCUAACGCAUUAAGUACUCCGCCUGGGAAGUACGCUCGCAAGUGUGAAACUCAAAGGAAUUGACGGGGACCCGCACAAGUAGCGGCGCAUGUGGUUUAAUUCGAAGCAACGCGAAG
rnacentral:rRNA from 1 species